rnacentral:rRNA from 1 species
AGUGAACGCUGGCGGUAGGCCUAACACAUGCAAGUCGAACGGCAGCACAGUAAGAGCUUGCUCUUACUGUUGGCGAGUGGCGGACGGGUGAGGAAUACAUCGGCAUCUACUUUUUCGUGGGGGAUAACGUAGGGAAACUUACGCUAAUACCGCAUACUACCUACGGGUGAAAUCAGGGGAUCUUCGGACCUUGCGCGAUUGAAUUAGCCGAUGUCGGAUUAGCUAGUUGGCGGGGUAAAGGCCCACCAAGGCGACGAUCCGUAGCUGGUCUGAGAGGAUGAUCAGCCACACUGGAACUGAGACACGGUCCAGACUCCUACGGGAGGCAGCAGUGGGGAAUAUUGGACAAUGGGCGCAAGCCUGAUCCAGCCAUACCGCGUGGGUGAAGAAGGCCUUCGGGUUGUAAAGCCCUUUUGUUGGGAAAGAAAAGAAGCAGGUUAAUACCCCGCUGUUCUGACGGUACCCAAAGAAUAAGCAACGGCUAACUUCGUG